UACAGAGGUCUCAACCGUUGUUCGGAUUCAUUGGGCGUAAAGGGCGCGUAGGCGGUCGUGUAAGUCGGAUGUGUAAUCUCAGGGCUCAACCCUGAAACUGCAUUCGAUACUGCAUGGCUAGGGUACUGGAGAGGAGACUGGAAUUUACGGUGUAGCAGUGAAAUGCGUAGAUAUCGUAAGGAAGACCAGUGGCGAAGGCGAGUCUCUGGACAGUUACCGACGCUGAGGCACGAAGGUCAGGGGAGCAAACGGG
rnacentral:rRNA from 1 species